rnacentral:misc_RNA from 1 species
UUUAGCUUCUUGAACUCAAAAAGGCUCUCAAGACAAAGACCAAAAAAAGGGAAGCAAAAAUGAGUGUGAAAUUAGUGUCUCAAGUCAGUUUCAGUUUGGCACUAUUGUUAACUAUUCAGUUGGCAAUAGCAAAGGGACCUAUUGCAAAGCCUAGCUGUACAGACCAUUGCGGAAAUAUAGAUAUUCCAUACCCAUUCGGAAUGGGUGAGAAGGAUUGUUAUUUCAAUGAAUGGUUUGAGAUCGAGUGCAAAGAAAGUAGAGCUUUUAUAAGUAAAAUCAAAAUGGAGCUCCUCAAUAUUUCUACCGUAGGCCGGGCUAACGUCAAAAGUCCAAUAAUAUCCUCCGAUUGUUCCGACAGGGUGUCCGAUUUGCCUUUCAAUUUGACGGGAAGUCCUUUCUUCAUUUCCGACUACAACGUAUUCACUGCAGUAGGUUGCAACACCCGUGCUUUAAUGAUCGAUCAAUCUCUCCAACGCCUUGGGUGUGAGUCAACAUGCCUUAGCCAUAAGAAGGAUGUUGAUUGGAGACAAAUGCUUCCUAAUUUCAUAGAAGAGGGUUCCAGUGGUAAUUACUGGAUAGUGAAAGAUUAUUGUAACGGCACCGAUUGCUGUCAUGUUACAAUACCUUCAUCCCUUCAGGUUUUCAAUGCAAGUUUUCAAGCCAUAAAUAAUCAAAGCACAGAUGGUUGCAAGCUGGCAUUUCUAGCAGGAACAUAUGGGCCGAACUCCUGGAGGAAAAAGGAUCCAAAUGUCCAGUUUCCGAUGGUGCUAGAUUGGAUGCUCUAUUCGAACCGAACUGAAAGUUAUAAUUGGAUGAUCAAUUCCGGCUUUUGGAGUGGCAAUUACUCGGAGUCGGAAUCUCUGUAUUGCUACUCCGACGGUUCUUCUUCUAUUAAUGAGGCAGCAGUAUUCCGUUGUUAUUGCAGAUUUGGGUAUGAGGGCAAUCCUUACAUUCGAUGCACAGAUGUUGAUGAAUGCAAAGAUCCAAAGUUUCGUGGUCAUUGCAAGGGAAUAACAAGAUGUGUGAAUACUUCUGGAUCAUUUAAAUGUGCACCUGACGCAAAAUGGAUUAUAUUGUUGUGCGUAGGUGGGAUUAUUGGAGUAUUGGUAAUAGUCUUUGGUAUUCAGAUGUUGUGCAAGCUUAUGAAGAAAAGAAGGAACAUCCAACUCAAAAAAAAGUUCUUUAAAAGGAAUGGUGGCUUGCUGUUACAACAACAAUUAACUUCAAGUGAUGGUAGUGUUAAGAAAACACAAAUAUUUACAUCAAAGGAGUUGGAAAAAGCCACUGAUCGUUUCAAUGAUAACAGAAUACUUGGUCAGGGAGGUCAGGGCACAGUGUACAAGGGAAUGCUAGCAGAUGGAAGAAUUGUUGCUGUCAAAAUGUCCAAAUUAGUUGAUGAGGAAAACUUACAAGAAUUUAUUAAUGAACUUGUGAUUCUUUCUCAAAUAAAUCACAGGAAUGUUGUUAAGUUGUUGGGAUGUUGCUUGGAGACCGAAGUUCCUUUGCUAGUCUAUGAAUUCAUACCUAAUGGAUCUCUUUUCCAAUAUCUCCAUGACCAAAGUGAGGAGGCUUCACUACCAUGGGAAAUGAGAGUAAGAAUUGCUAGUGAAAUUGCUGGGGCACUUGCAUAUUUACACUCAGCAGCUUCUAUUCCAGUUUAUCAUCGUGACAUUAAGUCCACAAAUAUACUCUUAGAUGAGAAACACAGAGCAAAAGUAUCAGAUUUUGGAACUUCAAGAUCAAUUGCCAUCGAUCAAACUCAUUUGACAACUCACGUGCAUGGCACUUUUGGUUAUUUGGAUCCAGAGUACUUCCAAUCUAGCCAAUUUACAGAUAAAAGUGAUGUUUAUAGCUUU